GCAUUUUUACAAAUCUCUUUCUCAGUUGGUAGAUAUUGCACUCGCUUCUACCUUGCAGAAAUAUGAUAAUAAUGCUAUGAACAUUAGCACAUAAGUACUUGUAAGAAUGCUUAUUUUCAUUCUUUUCUAGUAUACACCAAGGAGUGGAAUUUCCCAGAGUAUUGAAGCUGAUGUGCAUAAUCAUGCCUAAACAAAGCAGUGUGCAGCAGGAAAGAACAGCCGGCCAUUUAAGAGAAUCCAUCAGCAGCAGACAUUGGCACGGAGCUUUCUCUUUGGUGAACUGUCUUAAGAUCUCCAAGACGUUCGGACUACUCUCAAAAAUCGAAUUCUUUACUACCUCAACUGGAGUUUUGCUGCAGGAGAUGAAACAAAACAAAGCAAAACUUUUAAUGGAAAGCUUUUGAAUUGGCCAUGAUAGUGUAACUCAAAUGCAAAGAGGAAGGGGAUGUUCUUAACAUACAACCAAGUACACACAGGUUUAUGCACAGACACAAUUCACACUUGAAAUUUUAACUUCUGAGUCAUGAACUCAUUUAACAAAUAUUUAUUUGACAUGCAAUAGACACUUUUUAUAUCAGUUCCCCUCUUCUCCACAUGCAUAUAGCAAUACAAUCCUACUGAAUGAUCGAUUUGAUGCCACUCUCUAUGUACCUGUCUGUACACCUCUCCUUCUCUCCUUCAACUCCAGCCCUACACUUGUGUUUUCUUCUGCCUCUCUGUCUUUCGAUAUAUUAUACUUGGACAAUAUUACAUUAUUUGAACAGUUUCAAUUGUGUUUUCUCAAAUGCUGUUAUUCCAUACAAAUUCCAAUUCCAAUAUAAUGAAGGUUAUGCCAAUGUAGUGAUGUCAACCUCAGAUUUUAGAAUAUUUUGUGAAGUGUCUAAAAUAAUGGACAGGAGAGCUCAUGUUACCUGUUAUAUAAGUAAGAGCUGAGGAAGACAAGAAGACAUAUUUCUAAGCACUUUGUAUUUAUGAAGCAAUACAGAAAGUUGUGAAACAAACCAGUGCACAAAAAAAAUCUCGUAUGAAUGGGGGAAGGUGGUAGAAAAUGUGUGGAUGGGACAGGAUAAUUAAUAAACUAAAAUUUAGAUGUAAGAGAAUUAAAAUAUAAUGGAGAGGAAUUACAGAGAAUAUUGACAACUCUUUCAGUAGAUGUUCCUGAAAAAAGAUAUAAAGUUUCAUUGAUCAAGGUUUAUAAUUCCCAUGAUCUUCAGCAAAUUUAAUAUUUAAGUCUUACAGUCUACCAGACUCAUUAAUGUUUAAAUACUGUACAGUAGCAUUGUCCAAAAUAAAAAUAAAAAUAUGACAUAAGCCUCAUGUACAAAGAAAGCUAUUUAGCUACUUGAAUAAAGUAAAAAUGAAAAUGAAAUUAAAAGUAUGCUUCACUUGAAGAAGUAUUUUAAAAAGCAUGGGAGGCAGGCCAGUCUCUGCAAGUUUGAUAACCUGGUCUACAUACGAAGUUUCAGGCCAGCCAGGGCUACACAACAAGACCCUGUCUCAUAAAGUUAUUCAUAAUAUAUUUGACAUUCAUUUUUAUAUUAAUUUGAUGUAUAAUUUAUAUUAAUUUGAUGUAUAAUUUACUGGUAACACAUAUCACUUGAGCUACUAACUUGUCAUAUGAAAA
rnacentral:lncRNA from 1 species